GCGGGUAAGCACACAACCAAGCUUGCCAACGAUGGCACAAGAGGUAUAAAAAUAAUAUUAAAUAACCAAACAUAUUUGAUCCAUCAAUCAAAAUCAAAUCAAAAAUAUCUACUGAUAAGUAUUAUACCACUUGAAUUAUUUUCAAAUAAACACUGAAAAGAAUCAUUUUAAAUUAUUAUGAAACUAUACGCUCUCACCUUAACAAAGUCAGAAAUUUUGUUACACAAGCUAAUCUUUUAUUUGGCGGCAUACUUGACACGCAAUUUUCGUUACUCUCACCUAAAAUAUGAAUUAUGGAACAUCUAAUCAUAUUUUAUUUUCUACUAUAACAAAAAUACAAAUGAAAUGCAAGAACAUGCAAUAUGCAAAUUUAACUAUGUUGCGAUUCUCUAUAUUUAUGAGCGCCAAAAUAUUUUCGAUAAUUCAUAAUAUUUCAUACACAUAAAGUAUACAUAUAAAUAUACGAUAUAUUAAAAUUUUAGAAUUUUUGAAUCUCGGUAACUAUUUUUAAAAUCUAAAAUUCAGAAAGACGAAUUAGCACCGAAAAUCAAAGAUAACAGCUCGGUCUUUCAUUUUUAUAACUUCCUCAAAUCUAAUUUGACUCCAAAAGUUUUACAUAACACACUAGACACAUGUACGCAUUUACAGUAAAAAUAUUAUAAAUUUUUAGUCUAAAUAACAAGUUUUUUUAAAUUCGUCAAACCUUCCUAGAAUUUCUAAAAAUUCUGCUCAUCCACAAAUAGCACAUAUAGUUGCUAUAAAAUUUUAUAAAUAAAAACCCCUUCUUUAAUUAUGAUUUAAGUAGUAAUAAAGUAAAAUAAAAUGUGUAAUAACUCAUAAGAGUGAUUCUUGACUCUAUAUUCAUAUAAAAUUGUAAUAUAACACAAAUUAAACUUAAAUAUGCAUAUAUCAUUUGAUUCUCAUAGUUAAUCUAUUUUUUUUUAAUUUCAUAAAAAUUCCAGAUUAUAAAAUAUGAAAAAAUUUGAAACAAAUUUGAAAUAUAUAAAAUUCGUACCUAAUUGAACUCUCAAAUUUUUGUCGCUUGAAUUUUUCAACCCUCCUUUCCCUCUCUCAGUUUUUCUCCUCUAUCUCAACUCUCUGUUAUUU
rnacentral:lncRNA from 1 species